CCCCCCCCCCCAUUGGAGCUGCUUAUGCAGUGCAAGUCCUUAUCAACACAGAUUGACGAGUUGGACAUCCUGCUCAGGAUGGAGGAAGAGGACAAACAUUUGUGCUGUUUGGAAAGUUUUUGGCAAGACCAUUCUGCAAGUCCAGUUUACGAUGAAAGUAAUCAACUUUCAGAACGGAAAAUGGAAGAGAAGGUUAUUGAAAAAAUGCUCCGGGACCAGUGGGAACUCAAUGACAAAUUAAUGUUGUCUCAAGGACUUAUUCACCAACGUAAUAUGCAGUUAAGAGCUCAAAUUACAGAGUGUCGACUUUCGAACAUGUCCAGUGAGGAGGAGUUGAAAAAUUUACAAGCGGAAUACAGUAAAAUGAAAAUGUAUGGGGUAAUUAACAUAGCUUCUGAAAAAGAGGACCUUCGCCUUACAGAGAAGCUUCUUCAGAUUAUUGACUGUGAGGAAGAUAGAAGAUCGACAAUAACCUCUACCUUGUUCAACAAUCCCACCAUCAUGCAAAUCAUUGGCCUGUUUUGCCAAGUUGUUUUGCAGGUUCUACCUGCGAUACUCGGUUGCCUGGCUGCUAUCUUCUGCUUUUUUUGCCUCUCCUUUCACAGAGUUCAGAUGCCAAAAUAUGUGGUGCACGCCAGUUGUAAUUGGUUGGAGGAGAAGAAAUGGGUUGGGAGACAAGAAGGAUAUAUAUGAGAAGAACUUUUCACUGUGAUAAUGCUGAAAACAAAAUCCCUUGACCCAGUGGCUAAAAAAAGAAAAAGGACAUUUUUCCCCCACAUUGAAGCAGCUACUUGCCAUCAGGAAGUAAGAAACUAUCAAUUGGUUGCUAUUGUCAUUCUAAUGCACCAUUCUCGAGAUGAAAACAUUGGAUAAGUACGUGCUGAAUGUUUAGCACCUCAAAUGAGUCUGUGGAUACCAUAAAAUAUAUUAACAUUAUCUUCACAACACAAAACAUUUAAAUAAAACUUGAAAAGGAAAUCUCAAGCUGCGUUAG
rnacentral:lncRNA from 1 species